CAACUUGACGGGAGCAUAAUCGACUCCCGUGGUGGUGACGGAUAACGGAGGAUCAGGGUUCGACUCCGGAGAAGGGGCCUGAGAAAUGGCCACUACGUCUAAGGAUGGCAGCAGGCGCGCAAAUUACCCACUCUCGGCUCGAGGAGGUAGUGACGAGAAAUAACGAGAUUGUUCUCUUUGAGGCCGGUCAUCGGAAUGGGUACAAUUUAAACCCUUUAACGAGUAUCAAGCAGAGGGCAAGUCUGGUGCCAGCAGCCGCGGUAAUUCCAGCUCUGCUAAUACAUAGAAUUAUUGCUGCGGUUAAAAAGCUCGUAGUUGGAUUCGUAUCGGUACCUUGGAACCCUUCGGGUGUUUCUGGGUGUUAUCGAUUUAUCGUAAUGUUCGGUUUUGAGUCCUUAACAGGAUUUUUAACAGUCAUUGCAAGUUUACUUUGAACAAAUCAGAGUGCUUCAAACAGGCGUUUUCGCUUGAAUGAUCGUGCAUGGAAUAAUAGAAAACGAUUUCGGUUCAGUUUUAUUGGUUUUACGGACUGAGAUAAUGGUUAACAGAGACAAACGGGGGCAUUUGUAUGGCCCCGUGAGAGGUGAAAUUCUUGGACCGUGGCCAGACAAACUACAGCGAAAGCAUUUGCCAAGAAUGUCUUCAUUAAUCAAGAACGAAAGUCAGAGGUUCGAAGGCGAUCAGAUACCGCCCUAGUUCUGACCGUAAACGAUGCCAACUAGCGAUCCGCCGAUGGAAAUUAUAUUGCCUUGGUGGGGAGCUUCCCGGAAACGAAAGUCUUCCGGUUCCGGGGGAAGUAUGGUUGCAAAGCUGAAACUUAAAGGAAUUGACGGAAGGGCACCACCAGGAGUGGAGCCUGCGGCUUAAUUUGACUCAACACGGGGAAACUCACCCGGCCCGGACACUGUGAGGAUUGACAGAUUGAUAGCUUUUUCAUGAUUCAGUGGAUGGUGGUGCAUGGCCGUUCUUAGUUCGUGGAGUGAUUUGUCUGGUUUAUUCCGAUAACGAGCGAGACUCUAACCUACUAAAUAGCUGGUACAUACUCUUAGUGUAUACAGCUUCUUAGAGGGAUUUGCGGUGUUCAGCCGAAAGAAAUUGAGCAAUAACAGGUCUGUGAUGCCCUUAGAUGUCCGGGGCUGCACGCGCGCUACACUGGCAAAAUCAACGUGCUUGUCCUACCCCGAAAGGGGCGGGUAAACCAUUGAAAAUUUGCCGUGAUUGGG
rnacentral:rRNA from 1 species